rnacentral:rRNA from 1 species
UACGUAGGGUGCGAGCGUUGCCCGGAUUUAUUGGGCGUAAAGAGCUCGUAGGCGGCUUGUCGCGUCGGCUGUGAAAACCCGCGGCUCAACUGUGGGCGGGCAGCUGAUACGGGCAGGCUGGAGUUCGGUAGGGGAGAGUGGAAUUCCCGGUGUAGUGGUGAUAUGCGUAGAUAUCGGGAGGAACACCAGUGGCGAAGGCGGCUCUCUGGGCCCUACCUGACGCUGAGACGCGAAAGCGUGGGGAGCGAACCGG